UACGUAGGGGGCAAGCGUUGUCCGGAAUCAUUGGGCGUAAAGCGCGUGUAGGCGGUUCGGUAAGUCUGCUGUGAAAGUCCAGGGCUCAACCCUGGGAUGCCGGUGGAUACUGUCGGGCUAGAGUACGGAAGAGGCGAGUGGAAUUCCCGGUGUAGCGGUGAAAUGCGCAGAUAUCGGGAAGAACACCCGUGGCGAAGGCGGCUCUCUGGAACGCAACUGACGCUGAGACGCGAAAGCGUGGGGAGCAAACAGG
rnacentral:rRNA from 1 species